rnacentral:rRNA from 1 species
GCCUAGCCAUUAACUGACACCCAUUAACUAAAGUGUUCGCCAGAAUAUUACGGGCGAAAAGCCUAAAACUCAAAAGACUUGGCGGUGCUUCAUACUCACCUUAGAGGAGCCUGUCCUAUAAUCGAUACUCCACGAUAUACCCGACUACUUUUUGCAAACUCAGCCUAUAUACCGCCGUCGCCAACUUACCCUGUGAGGGAAAAAUAGUAGGUAAAAAAGUCUACCACACAAACGUCAGGUCAAGGUGUAGCUUAUAAAGUAGAAGAGGUGGGCUACAUUUUUUAAACAAAACACUACGACAUAGUGCCCUGAAACUAGCACUUAAAGGAGGAUUUAACAGUAAAAUAAGAAAGAAAACUUAUUUUAAAUUUGCUCUGAAGCGCGC